rnacentral:misc_RNA from 1 species
GCCGCCGCUACUUCUCCGUCUCCCAGCUCUCCAUCUCCCCAUCCUCGCCGCCGCCAUGAUCAUCCCCAAGAAGAAUCGCCAUGAAAUCUGCAAGUAUCUCUUCCAAGAGGGGGUCUUGUAUGCGAAGAAGGACUUCAACUUGGAGAAGCACCCCGACAUCGAGGUUCCGAAUCUCCAGGUGAUAAAAUUGAUGCAGAGCUUCAA